rnacentral:rRNA from 1 species
UACGGAGGGGGCUAGCGUUGUUCGGAAUUACUGGGCGUAAAGCGCGCGUAGGCGGACCUGCAAGUCGGGGGUGAAAGCCCGAGGCUUAACCUCGGAACUGCCUUCGAUACUGCGGGUCUCGAGUCCGGGAGAGGUGAGUGGAAGUCCUAGUGUAGAGGUGAAAUUCGUAGAUAUUAGGAAGAACACCAGUGGCGAAGGCGGCUCACUGGCCCGGCACUGACGCUGAGGCGCGAAAGCGUGGGGAGCAAACAGG